rnacentral:rRNA from 1 species
UACGUAGGCAGCAAGCGUUGUUCGGAGUUACUGGGCGUAAAGGGUGCGUAGGCGGCUUUUUAAGUUUGGUGUGAAAUCUCCCGGCUCAACUGGGAGGGUGCGCCGAAUACUGAGAGGCUAGAGUGUGGGAGAGGAAAGUGGAAUUCCUGGUGUAGCGGUGAAAUGCGUAGAUAUCGGGAGGAACACCAAUGGCGAAAGCAGGUAACUGGACUAUUACUGACACUCAACUGCGAAAGCUAGGGGAGCAAACAGG